UAUGCCUCCUUGUUCCAAGUCCUAAUUGCGAGAGCUCUACGCCUCAAUCUUCUAUGUUACAAGUAUUUCAGGGAAUGUCUUGAAUUAUUAUUAUUAUUAUUAAUGUUAUUACAAUUCAAGAAAAAUUGAUUUGUAUCUGCUGUAAAAAAAAAAUGAUUCGUAUCAGCAGUGCUAUAAUAAAGGGACCGGUGUGUAUACUUUUUUUUUCAAUGCGAUCAGUUAUUG
rnacentral:misc_RNA from 1 species